rnacentral:misc_RNA from 1 species
UCUUUUUUUUUUAAUUUUUUUUUUACCAGUACUCUUUCUUUCUUGCUCCCGAUAAUUGUAAGAUUGCAUCUUUGACUGCAAUUGUUCAGUGAUGAUCGGUUGGCUUUUUAUGUUUAUUUUACCGGCUGACUUUUGCAGCUUUUUAUUAGUCUGCAAAUCUUUGUCAUUUUUUGUUUCCUCAAUACCCUUUUCUGUUGAGUUGGUGUCCCUGCAUAGUGUUUUUUUUUUGGUUUUUGGGUUUGUUAAUCAAUCUGGGCUGAUUCUCUGAAAUGAUUGGCACCAUUUGAACGGUAUAAAUGGAUUCAUCAUUGCGACAUUUGUGGACCCUUUUUCGAUUUUUAUACUUGUUUGGGUGUAUAAUUGGCUGAUCGGUUGGUGAUAGAUUGUGAAAGUUGAUCGAAUUCUUUCCGAGCUAACUAGAUCUGGGUCUUGAUUGAGCGUUGGAUGUUGGAUUGGCUUAAAUGGGUAACUUUCUAUAAGAAUUUUAGUGGUUGAAAACUGGAAUAUGCAGAUCUUGGCAAAUUAAUCAUUGAACAGAGUUAAAGAAUAUAAUGGUAACUUAGCCCUUUCUUGUGUGUUUGAAUGAAUUUGAUAGGCAAAAAAGUGGAGAAAUAUAGUGCUAGUAGCUGCUGGCGUGUUUGAUGCGUCAGCUUGGAAGUCUUGAAUUUCAAUCUCAUUAGAAGGUUAUCCAUCUAUGAGUUUGGAAGGGAACUGGAGACUUUUAUUUGCACCAUAUUAGUUGAGCUGGUAAUUGCUGGUCAUAUCAAAACAAUGUCAGCUUAUGCACAUCAAGCGGAGAGGGAGUUCUCUGCUCAUAGUCUCUCAAGUAGAGGAGGCUCUGAUUGUAGAGGUGUGAAGUUGUUGAUGAAUAGCUAGUGGACAUAAUUUACAACUCUGAGAUUGAAACCUUGAAGAUAUCAUGGCGAAAUACAUCAUCAUACAGUUGCUAUCACAAGUUUCUUUGUUAUAUUCAAAUGCCAAAUUAAUUGCAGAAAAAUAUAUAGCAUGGUUGUGGGCCUAUUAAUGGAACAUGGUCUAUUGUAUGUAGUAUAACUCAACUGGGUACUGUAGCUAUCUUCAUUGUACUUCUGCCCCAUGAAGUAAUUGGUUGCUCCUGAUUCAUAUUGAUUUCCCUUUAACAUACUGCAAAUUAUGAUCAGAGUACCUUUUCUCAAUUUUUCUGUUAUAAAUCUUAUACAAUAGUAAUUAUAUUGCAUUUCUUUGUUGCAGAGAUGGGAAGCCGUUAUAUGGUAGAGUCAGGGUUCUACAUGACUUCUUUUGCUGCAACAAUCUUCAUUGGUGCUCUUGUAACUGUUGGAGUUGUAUUCAUCACCCUGCUGAUUGCUUUAUCAGUAAUGUUGCAGUCCUGUGAGAAUAGAAGUAAAGGUGUUAUUGAGAUUCAAAAACCAAAUGAUGAUUACAAUUACUGCAAGAUUUCUGCUCUGCAUGCAGAGCUCAACAACUUGGGACCGGAGGACUUCCCUUCAAUUUGCAGGAGUCUUGCUGUUCAGCACAUCAAAGAAGGUCAAUAUGAGAGAGAAUUAAACAGUAUUAAGCAAUUGGUUGAGAAGUACUUUGACAGUGUUGUUCCAUUAAAUGAUGAACUAGAUGUGGUAUUGAUGGACAUAGAUGACAUUCUUCCUUCAAAUCCUCAAUACGACCAUCCCUUGAUGUACCAGUAAUUUCCUUAUUAUCUUCGUAAUUAUGCCUGCCUUUUUAUUUCCUCUCAUCUUAAGCCAAAGUUGUCAAUGUCUUUAACAUGUUAGAUCAUCAACUUAUUAGCAUUUUCUUAACUUUUACAUUGCCCUCCAAAAGUGACUGUUCAAGUUAGCUCAUGCUUGUCUAGAAGGCCUACAUCUUUCUGUAAAUAGUAAUUAAUAAUUAUAAGCUUAAUGAUAGUUGUCAAUGCUUUUUGGGGGAGAACAGUUGGUUUGUAAAUAUUAAAUAAAAUUGUUGUCCUACAAUUUGCAAGCUAUAAGCUUCUUGGUUGUGGAAAAAGUAGGAUUUUACUAUUUUGCAAUAAAGGCCUAGUGAAAAAUAUAUUAUUUAUAUGCUUGUGUUAACACUAUGUUUGGGAGGAAAUUUUCGAGGUAAGGGUUUUUAAAGUAGUAAAGGUUUGUCUGGGAGGAAGGUUUUUUAAUGAAGGUAAGAUUUUUAGAGGUUUUAAAGCUCCAAAACUCUCACUUUUUCAACCUAUCAAAUUGGUGGUUCGGGAAGGUUUUGAUACUUACCUUUCAUUUCCUUAAAAAAUUUUCAUACACUCCAUCCAAACAUACUGUAAAUUCUGAUUUUGCUUAAAAUUUUCAAAAAUAUGGCUUUUCUUGGACAUAGUUUACUGUUGUAUACCUAUUAUUAUGUGACUCAUCAUUUUAGAAGAAGGAAAAAAUAAUCCUCUUGCUGUUUGGUACAGAUUGAAUCAGUGUGGCUCUAAGUGUUGUUUUGAAGAAGCAAAACAUUUGAAGGAAAUGAUUUUUCUAAGAUUAUAUACAGAGCUUCAAGCUAGAGGGUGGUCUUUUAUUUUGUUAUCAAGGAAGCCUGAUACACUACGAAAUGCCUCCAUAGAUCACCUUAUUUCUGCAGGAUACAGAGGUUGGUCUUCAGUGAUUAUGAGAUCGGAUGAUGAAAUGGAAAUGGAUAGUCGUGAAUAUUUUUUGAGACGAAGGUUGAUAAUGCAGAGAAAGGGCUUCCGUAUCGCAUGUGUGAUUAGCAGCCAGAUGGAUGCAUUAACAGGCCCCUUUUCAGGACAACGCAUUUUUAAGCUUCCUAACCCGAUGUGUUAUUAUUCCAAUCAUCCGAUGGAGAAAAUGUAUGCACCAAAAUUAUGAUGUUCCUUGUUAGCACCUUGAUUUGUUAUUCAGUAGUUCUACAGUUUCUCGCUGUAAAGCCUGCUCGGCCUUUAUCUGAACUACCUGGGUUCUCCUUAAGUAUUUUGUUGUAUAUAGGUAUUGAUAUCAUUGGUUUGAUCGAGUUCAUCACAAUUAUCAUUCAUAUUAUGUGCUAUUAAUUUGGAUCAGUUUUGUUUGAAUUAGUUUUUCCCUAAUUCAGUUCAAU